GCACCCGUAGUUUAAUGGAUAGAAUAACGGAUUCCGGUUCCGUCGGUUUGGGUUCGAUUCCCAACGGGUGUA
rnacentral:tRNA from 1 species